rnacentral:rRNA from 1 species
GGUAUCAAAUCCUGAAUACAUAGGGGUUUGAAGCGAACCCGGGGAACUGAAACAUCUAAGUACCCGGAGGAAAGGACAUCAACGAGACUCCGUCAGUAGUGGCGAGCGAACGCGGAUCAGGCCAGUGCCUGUGUGGAGUUUAUCGGAACGGUCUGGAAUGGCCGGCAAGAGUGGGUGACAGCCCCGUACGAGACGGACGACAUACAGGACUCGAGUAGGGCGGGACACGUGAAAUCCUGUCUGAACAUGGGGGGACCACCCUCCAAGCCUAAGUACUCCUCAGCGACCGAUAGCGAACAAGUACCGUGAGGGAAAGGUGAAAAGCACCCCGACGAGGGGAGUGAAACAGUUCCUGAAACCGGAUGCUUACAAACAGUGGGAGCUCAAGGUUCGUCCUGGGUGACCGCGUACCUUUUGUAUAAUGGGUCAGCGACUUAAAGUUACGAGCAAGCUUAAGCCGGUAGGUGUAGGCGCAGCGAAAGCGAGUCUGAAUAGGGCGACUUAGUUUGAUGGAUUAGACCCGAAACCCGGCGAUCUAGGCAUGACCAGGAUGAAGGUGGGGUAACACCCACUGGAGGUCCGAACCGAUUAACGUUGAAAAGUUACCGGAUGAGUUGUGUUUAGGGGUGAAAGGCCAAUCAAGCCGGGAAAUAGCUGGUUCUCCGCGAAAACUAUUGAGGUAGUGCCUCGGAUGAAUACCGAUGGGGGUAGAGCACUGGAUGGGCUAGGG